rnacentral:rRNA from 1 species
AUGUCGGAUUUCCAGACCUCCACGCACCGGGAGCGGUGGAUCUUCCAGCCGCAGGACCUGGUGAAUAAGUGGACGACGGCGAACCGGCGUUCAGCGGAGAUCCUCGCCCAGUAUGGGACGACGAGAUUGAAGGUGGACCCUGUUGAUGGCUCGAUAUCGAACCCUGAACCUCUGCCUGAUCAUGUUGUUGGGAGCUCGAGCGUGAAGCCUCUAUCCUGCGAAGAGGAGCAAGUGAUGCGGAUAUUUUACGAGCAAAAGAUUCAAGAAGUGUGCAGAGCAUUCAAAUUCCCCCACAAAAUUCAGGCUACAGCGAUAAUAUAUUUCAAGAGAUUCUAUCUACAGUGGUCUGUAAUGGAGCACCACCCAAAGCAUAUUAUGUUAACCUGUGUAUAUGCUUCUUGCAAAGUGGAAGAAAAUCACGUUUCUGCUGAGGAACUUGGCAAAGGGAUUCAGCAGGACCACCAGAUUAUUCUAAAUAAUGAGAUGAUUGUUCUGAAAUCUUUAGAUUUUGAUUUGAUCGUUUAUGCUCCAUAUCGUUCUAUCGAAGGAUUUAUUGAUGACAUGGAUGAUUUUUGUAGGGCAGGUAAUGGUGCACAUCAACGGUUGAAGGAUUUGCAUCAAACUGCGAAUUCUGAGGUUGACACAAUGAUGUUGACUGAUGCACCUCUUCUCUAUACUCCUGGACAGUUGGCUUUGGCUGCUCUGUACAAGUCCAACAGUGCACUCAGUGUCCUUGAUUUUGAAAGAUACUUGGAAAGUGUUUUUUCAAGGCAACACUUUGAUUGUCCAGUCGAACAAUUUAUUCAGAUAAUCAGUUCAAUCAAUCACCUGGUUAGCCAGCUUCAACUACCUGGCACGAAAGAAAUGAGGCAUGCUGAUCGCAAGCUGAAGCAUUGUUUGGAUCCAAGCUCAAGCUCUCAUGAUGACCACAAGAAGAAAGAGAAGAAGUCAAAGCACAAAUCGAAAAGGACUGCCAGUGAUGCCCAGCUCAACAGCUAG